GAUGAACGCUGGCGGCGUGCCUAAUACAUGCAAGUCGAGCGGAAAGGCCCCUUCGGGGGUACUCGAGCGGCGGACGGCUGAGUAACGCGUAGGAAUGCACCCCAAAGUGAGGAAUAACUGCCCGUAAGGGUGGCUAAUGCCGCAUGUGAUCUACGGAUUAAAGCUUUAUGCGCGUUGGGAACAGCCUGCGCCCGAUUAGCUAGUUGGUAGUGUAAUGGACUACCAAGGCGAUGAUCGGUAGCUGGUCUGAGAGGAUGAUUAGCCACACUGGGACUGAGACACGGCCCAGACUCCUACGGGAGGCAGCAGUGGGGAAUAUUGGACAAUGGGGGAAACCCUGAUCCAGCGAUGCCGCGUGAGUGAAGAAGGCCUUCGGGUUGUAAAGCUCUUUCAGAGGGGAUGAUAAUGACGGUACCCUCAGAAGAAGCACCGGCUAACUUCGUGCCAGCAGCCGCCGUAA
rnacentral:rRNA from 1 species